rnacentral:rRNA from 1 species
GAGUUGAUCUUGCUCAGGAUGAACGCUAGCGGCAGGCCUAAUACAUGCAAGUCGAGGGGUAUGGAAGCUUGCUUCCCAGAGACCGGCGCACGGGUGCGUAACGCGUAUGCAACCUACCCUUUUCUGGGGGAUAGCCCGGAGAAAUCCGGAUUAAUACCGCAUAAGACCACACGAUGGCAUCAUCGAGGGGUCAAACAUUUAUGGGAGAAGGAUGGGCAUGCGUGCCAUUAGCUAGUUGGCGGGGUAACGGCCCACCAAGGCGACGAUGGCUAGGGGAUCUGAGAGGAUGGCCCCCCACACUGGUACUGAGACACGGACCAGACUCNUACGGGAGGCAGCAGUAAGGAAUAUUGGUCAAUGGGCGCAAGCCUGAACCAGCCAUGCCGCGUGCAGGAAGACGGCCCUCCGGGUUGUAAACUGCUUUUGUACGGGAAUAAACCUCUCUACGUGUAGGGAGCUGAAUGUACCGUAAGAAUAAGGAUCGGCUAACUCCGUGCCAGCAGCCGCGGUAAUACGGAGGAUCCAAGCGUUAUCCGGAUUUAUUGGGUUUAAAGGGUGCGUAGGCGGCCUGUUAAGUCAGGGGUGAAAGACGGUGGCUCAACCAUCGCAGUGCCCUUGAUACUGAUGGGCUUGAAUAGACUAGAGGUAGGCGGAAUGUGACAAGUAGCGGUGAAAUGCAUAGAUAUGUCACAGAACACCGAUUGCGAAGGCAGCUUACUAUGGUCUGAUUGACGCUGAGGCACGAAAGCGUGGGGAUCGAACAGGAUUAGAUACCCUGGUAGUCCACGCCCUAAACGAUGACACUCGCUGUUGGCGAUAAACGGUCAGCGGCUAAGCGAAAGCGUUAAGUGUUCCACCUGGGGAGUACGCCCGCAAGGGUGAACUC